rnacentral:rRNA from 1 species
AAUAAUAUAAGGGCGUAUGGUGGAUGCCUAGGGAUAUCGAGGCGAUGAAGGACGUUGCGUGCCUGCGAUAAGCUCCGGUGAGGUGGCAAGCAACCUUUGACCCGGAGAUUUCCGAAUGGGGAAACCCCUUCGUGAAAAACACGAUGACCGAGCACUUAAUUUUGGAAUUUAAAAAAGAGGCAUAUUGCCUCUAGACUUUCAUAGGCUAUUUGGGUCUACGCAUUAGUGGAAGAUAUUCUCGCGCUACCCUAUAUAGAUCGCAUGGGUCUGAACUUCGAUAAAUAUAUGCGAGCCUAAAUGCUUCUUGGAUUUUUCGGGUUCUGAAGAAUAAUUUUUCUUUUUGCACUCUGUUUACCAAGAAGAAGGAGCAAAAGGACCUGAAGUUAAGAUAAUCUUCUUUCGUUAAAAUGUCAAAUUUAUUCCAAAAUUAAGUGCUCGGAGCGUACCCGCUGAAGUGAAACAUCUCAGUAAGCGGAGGAAAAGAAACCAAGUUUAGUUCCAAAUACAUGCGCCACACAUGUACGCGUGUAUUUGUGAACUAAAUCAUUCCCCAAGUAGCGGCGAGCGAAACGGGAACAGCCUAGAUCGUUUGAUACAAGGGAGCAAUCUUUUGCAUCGGACGAAGUUACAAGAUUAUGAUGUCGAUUCAAUUCGAGAGGGCAAAAAAUCGAAUGUGUUAGGAGAACGGCUCUGGAAAGGCCGGCCAAAGAGGGUAAUAGCCCCGUAUUCGAAAAUAUGUUCGUGCUCUUUUUCAUAACUCUUAAGUACUGCCCCGUUUGUAGUCUGGGCAGGAAGUCGGGAGAACUAGUCUCCCAAGGCUAAAUACUCGAUAUCACCGAUAGUGAACCAGUACCGUGAGGGAAAGGUGAAAAGCAGCCCGGUGAGGGCGAUGAAAUAGUACCUGAAACCAUACGUUUACAAGGAGUCGGAGUCCGUUGCCCGCAAGGGUAACAGGACGACGGCGUGCCUAUUGAAGAAUGAGCCAACGAGUUUUUGGAUUCUACUCGUCUAAGUGCCUUUAAAGCACCAAGGCAGAGGGAAACCGAGUGUUAAUAGCGCGAUCUAAUUUUUAUGUUCAUGCGCUAACGCGUAUGAACGUAUAAAUUAAAAGUAGAAUUCAAAAGACCCGAAACCUCGUGAGCUUACCAUGAGCAGGUUGAACUCCGAUGAAAAUCGGAGGGAGGACCGAACCGGUUGGUCGUACAACGCCUUCGGAUGACUUGUGGUAAGGAGUGAAAAGCUAAUCGAACGAGGAAAUAGCUGGUUCUCUCCGAAAUAGUUUUUGGACUAGCCUCGGAUCACACUUUUGAGGAGGUAAAGCACUGGAAGGUCAGUAAUUGUAGAAAUACAGGCUGACCUAUCAAACUCUGAAUGCCUCAAAUUUUAUUCCGGGAGUCAGUACGCGGGGGCUAAGCUCCGCGGUACAUGAGGGGAAGAGCCCAGACCGUCAACUAAGGUCCCUAAAUCUAUGCUAAGUGGCAAAGGUGGUGAGGUCUCUCAAACAACAAGGAGGUUGGCUUAGAAGCAGCCAUCCUUUAAAGAGUGCGUAACAGCUCACUUGUCAAGAGAUCGUGCGCUUAAAAUUUAACGGGGCUAAGCAUAGUCCCGACGCACUAUCUUUCAUUAGAUAGUGUAGUCGGGAUGCCGACUUCAACAUUAUUAAUUUGUUAAUAGUGCGUCGGCAUACCGAAGUUACGGGUUUGUUCCGCGUUCGCGCGGGACAAGCGGUAGGAGAGCAUUUCAAAUGCUGUGAAGGUUCACCCGCGAGGGGGACUGGAGCGUUUGGAAGAGAGAAUGUUGGCACAAGUAACCACAAGCAGGGUGAGAACCCCUGCCGCCGAAAACCCAAGGUUUCCUUGGCAAUGACAAUCAUCCAAGGUUUAGUCGGCCCUAAGGCAAUGGCGAAAGCCGCAGCCGAUGGACAGCUGGUUAAUAUUCCAGCACUGUGGUGCAUAUCGAUGGCGGGUCGGAGCGAAGUAUGUCGGGCGUAUUAUUGGAUUUACGUUUGCGGCGUGAGGAUGGAGCGUAGGCAAAUCCGCGCUCAAGCUCUUUAAUGAGCGCCGUCCAAGCGUCAUGAAAAUCAUGCGGAGCAAUCCAAAUGAAAUUCGAUAAAGCUCGCUUCCAAGAAAAGCGUCUAAGAUUAUAUGCAUCAUGACCGUACCGGAAACCGACACAGGUGGGUUGGUCGAGUAGACUAAGGCGAACGAGUGAGUCUUCGUUAAGGAACUAGGCAAAAAAGCAGCUGUAAGUUCGCAAUAAAGCUUACCAGCCUCACUUUUUGGACAUAAAAAAACCAACUGUUUUAGUUGGCGUGAAGAACUCUAUAUUUUCUAAUCUUUAAAGCAAUAACCGCAAGAAUGAUGAAUGGAGGGUAGAAGACAAGAAUGGAAAACAAUCCUUUAAGCAGAAGUCCAGUAAUAAUAUAUGCGGUUUUGGGACCAAAAAGAUCAGUGAAUACGAAAUUCAGAAUUCCGAUACAAGGGAGCGAUAUAAUGAAGAUGAUAAUUGAUGCCCAAAAUCCGACAAGUAUUGAGCCCACAGUAAACCUCCAACUGUAUGCGGAAUCUGAAAGGGAUUAUACAAAGCAAUAUAAAAAAAGUCAAGUGUGUCUAAAAAGUGAGGCUGGUCGCAGCGAAAGUACCUCUGGCGACUGUUUACCAAAAACACAGGUCCCUGCUAACUCGUAAGAGGAUGUAUAGGGGCUGACGCCUGACCGAUGCGAGAAGGUCAAACAUUUCCGUAGUGGAGUUAAGAUUACAUCAAAAUUUUAUUGCAUGAGAUGUCAAGCCCUCGUCAAUGUCAGCGGUAACUAUAACCGUUCUAAGGUAGCGCAAUUCCUUUCCGGGUAAGUUCCGGAGCGCACGAAAGGCGUAACGAUCGGAGGACUGUCUCAACGAAGAGCUCGGUGAAAAUACAAUGCCGGUGAAGAUGCCGGCUACCUGCAGUUAGACGAAAAGACCCCGGGAGCUUUACUGUAGCUUGAUAUUGGGUCUAGGUUUUUGUUGCGUAGCAUAGGUGGGAGAGGUUGAUCCCCGGUUUCCGGAUCGGGGGGACUCGUCAGUGAAAUACCACUCUUUAAAAACUUAGAUUCUAACCAAUCCGAUACCUAAAAAUGGAAAGCGGAUUGAGACAGUGUCUGGCGGGCAGUUUGUUUGGGGCGAAACCCUUAAGAAGACUGGUCAUUAAGCCGAUCAGUUGUGGGGGCUCCGCGUAAUGCGGAGAAAACAUUCAGCUAUAUGCUGGAACAUCCGGAUGUAUAUGUUGGUACCCGUCGAAGGGUAAAAAACCAACUUUGAAUAUUUCGCGCUUCUGCGGUAACGCAGUAUGUACGAAAUGUGCCGGACAAUCAGCAGGCAACCGAGCGCCUAUGGGUGCUUGGGAGCCCUCAACGACUAUACGCUGAAACCGCUGUAUGGCAGCGGCAUGAUAUAGUCUGAUCUUUCGGGCGACCGAAAGUGCGCAUACUUGCGCAACUUAAUAUGCAUUCAUUGGAAAUCGAAGAGCGAAAGAAACACAUACGAAUAAGCGAUUUCGAGAGAGAUAUUAUUGUGGGCAAACUUCUUGGUGACGGCCACCUUGAAACAAAGAACCAAGGCAGAACGUAUCGGCUGAAAGUGGAGCAUUCAAUCAAGCAAAAGGAAUACGUUGAUUGGGUCUACGGAAAAUUACGGCACUUGGCGAUGUCAGAGCCGUGUGUGAAAGAAAAAGAUGUAUUUCCACCGCAAGGCGGAACAUUCAAAUUUCACGGAUACGGUUUUACCAGUUUGUCGCUUGGCCAAUUACGUUUUUAUGGCCAGCAAUUCUAUAAUCAUGGCAAGAAAGUUAUUCCGAAGAUGAUUGGAAAAAUGCUUUCUCCAUCGGUGAUUGCCAUUUGGUAUCUUGAUGACGGAUCGCUUAAAUCGAAUACCCAUCGAACAUACAUUAUCCAUACCUAUGGAUAUACGAAAUCUGAUUUGCGGAGAGUGCAGGAUGCACUCCUGAAGCGCUUUGACAUACACACAAAUCUUCAUCGUCAAAAUAAGAACGGAAAAGUAUACUGGAGAAUGUAUGUCAUGUCGGAGUCGGCUUGGACAUUUCAGAAAUUGAUCGAGCCGAUUAUCAAACACAUUCCAUCAAUGCAAUAUAAAUUAGGGAACACACAUGCCCAAAAAGUAACGGAGGGGCUUAAAGGUUGGCUUAGGACGAAUGGAAACCGUCCAUGACGUGUAAAGGCACAAGCCAGCUUAACUCUAAGGCGGACAUGCCGAGGAGAUACGAAAGUAUAACUUAGUGAUCCGAUGGCUAUAGUACUUAUUUACAUUCAGGGGUAACUCUGAAUGUGAGUAUGUAUUUCUUACUAGAAUAAGGCCAAAGCUCAACGGAUAAAAGCUACCCCGGGGAUAACAGGCUAGUCGCUUCCAAGAGUCCAUAUCGACGAAGCGGAUCGGCACCUCGAUGUCGGCUCACCCUAUCCUGGGACUGGAGAAGGCCCCAAAGGUUUGGCUGUUCGCCAAUUAAAAGGGUACGCGAGCUGGGUUCAAACCGUUAAGAAACGAGAUUUAUGAAUCUUGAUUUAUGAUUUAAGACUUAUGAUCAGUUUUUUAACAGUUUGAACCCGAGGAAUGACAUCAAUAACGGCGGCGUUCCGCAGUAACGCGGAAUGUGAAGUUAACUUAUAUCGGUAAAAUCCUUUUGACAUUUUCCAUAAAUGUUUCUAGAGACAAUACCGAGGGAAGAAAAACAUUACUAUCUUUAAACCACAAAAAUUAUGGCAAUCGAAAACAAUGAAAGCAACCCAUCAUACCAAACACAAAAGGCAGAGAAAAUAGAAGAGAUUGGAGUUUUACUUCAAGAUCUGUCGCAUAGCCUUUCGUAUAAAGAUGGAAAAUUGCAUCAAUUUAACCUAUUUGACCUUCAAGAAAUUGAAAGUCGCCUAAAGGCCCUCAUAAAAGAAGCGAAUGAGGGAAGAAUAAAAGACUAGAUGGUAAUGUUUUAUCACCCGUAGAGACUACACGUUAACCUCCCAAUGAAAAUUUGCAUCCGCAAAUUGAAUCGGGAUGAUGAUAUAGUCCAAUGCACAUAGUAAUAUGUGGUAGACAUGCGUGAGACAGGUUGGUCUCCUAUCUACUGCAGGCGCAAGAUACUUGAGAGGAGUCGUCCUUUGUACGAGAGGAUCAGGAUGAACGAACCUCUGGUCUAUCGGCUGUUCCGCCAGGAGCACUGCCGAGUAGCUAUGUUCGGAAGGGAUAACCGCUGAAAGCAUCUAAGUGGGAAGCCCACCUCAAGAUAAGGUAUCAUAGAUCCGUGAGAGAUGAUCACGUUGAUAGGCCGUAGGUGUACGCGCAGUAAUGCGUUCAGCCGAGCGGUACUAAUAGAUCAUUU